GGGAGGAAGGACGCGCGGAACGCCCCCCUGUGAAGCAGGACAUCGAUUUUACCGUCUCCCCCAUCGGAGUCCCGGAGGCUGCGCUGCGGUGUGGCAAGUUCAUGGAGGAGCAGGUGCUUCAGUCGCAGGGGAUGACACACUUCCAUGGCCCCCCAUGCCAGAAGAGUUUGUAGUCUCCUCUCAUCACCUUGAAGAGUACUGGUCAAUUAUUUUGUAGAAUGUCCUUCAAAUUGGGUUUGUCUGCUGUUUUCUCCUGAUUCAGCUUAGGGAAAACCACCACAGAUGAUGUGCCACUCACACAGCACCACAUCACAGGUACCUGCUGCCAAUAUGAUGCCACCUUUGAGUUCUUGGUUGGGGCUGUGUCUGCCAGGUUUCUCCACUGUAAAGUAUUGUUCCCUUUGUAAUGAAUAGCUAUUUGGGGGGAGACUUGGCAGAUAUUCUAUUUCUCCUAAUUCUUUCACCUGUUAGAUUUCACCUUGCUGCAUCUGUCAAGGGACUGUGCUUAUAACAAUUAUCAUGGUGAUUUUCUAUUUCCCUUAUUCCUUCUACAUUUAUUAACUGGAAUUUUACAAGGAAGAACUGUUCCUUAUCCCUCACUUAUGCAUUCAUUUAUGUAUUGAUAUCAGCCUAAAUGGAUGGCUAUUUCUUUUCUUUUUUAGGUUGUAAUCCAUUACUGCUGUUGUCUAUCCUGUGGCUCGAACUGCUCCAGCUUUGGCCAAUGCAGCACUUUUUGACGGACAUCUACCCUUCUGAUAUCUGACAGGCUGCCAUCACUCACCUUUCGUUUGCCCUACCCCAACCCUGGAACCAACCCCUUCCCUGAGGAGCCCUUAGGAUCCACCAUCUCAGGCUGGCUCUGGUCACUGAUGCAGGUGUCACUGCUCUAAGGCCCUCUGUCGACAGACUUAGAAAACAGAUGUGUUACACUAACUCACACAUGCAUAGACCCACAUUUCUCUCUCUCUGAAAAAACCAACAGCCCUAGUUCAUGCUGACACCUCCAACCCUGAUCCAGAACCACAGGAUAACUCUAGCACCAUCCUUCCUUAUUUGUAACUUCUUCCUAGAAUACGUACAGUUUUGAGAUUGCUAACCCAUGCCCCUAUGAGAAACAAGUGCACUAACCAGAGGUUUUAUCUUUAGCCUUACAGCAUCCUGUCAAAACACUGUUUUCCAAAGUUACUGAUAGGUCAGCUAAUUCUACAUCCAUUUCACUAUGGUUAUGGCAGCAUUCCCUAACCGUUUUGGCACCAAGGACCAAUUUCUUAGAAGACAGUUUUUCCACAGACUGGGGCGAGGAGGGGGGAUGGUUUCAGGAUGAAACUGUGCCACCUCAGAUCAUCACUCUAACAUCAUAGUUAGAGUCUCAAAAGGAGUGAGUGAGCAACCUAGAUCAUUCACAUGCACAGUUCACAACAGGGUUCAUGCUCCUAUGAGAAUCUAAUGCUGCUGCUGACCUGACAGGAGGCAGAGCUCAGGCAGUAAUGCUUGCCUGCCCUCUGCUCACCUCCUGCUCUGUGGCCCAGGUCCUAACAGGCUACGGACAGGUACCGAUCCGUGGCCUAGGGGUUGGGGACCCCGGAUUAUGGGAUAAGUUUGUAAUACCAUUUGAUUCAUCUGUCACAGUUUGUAUCACUUGGGCACUCCCCCCAGUAACACACACACAAACAUCUUUGUUGAUUUUAGUGAAAUUUUGUGGUGCACAGUUCCAUGGGUUUUGACAGGUGCACAGUCAAAUCUAACACAGUCCCAUCACUCCCCAAACUGCCUCUCACUCUCUUUGUAAUCAACUCCUUUUCCCCAACUCUUAACCCCUGGCAACCACUGAUUUGUUCUUCUUCCUUAUGGUUGUGCUUUUUCUAGAGCAUCCUUUAAAUAGAAUCAUACAAUAUGGAGGCCUUUUAGGUUUGGUUUCUUUCACUAAACAAAAUGAAUUUAAGAUUCAUCCAUGUUGUGGGAAUUAAUAGUUUGUUCCUUUUGACUUUUGAGUGGUAUUCUGCUGUAGAGAUGUUACCACAAUUUGUUUAUUCAUUCACCAGUUGAAGGAUAUCUGAUUUUGAGUGUUGGCAAUUACUGAAUAAAACUCUAUUAACAGUCACAUGCAGGUUUUGUGUGAGCAUGAAUUUUCACUUACCUUGGGUAAGCACCUAGGAGUGAGACUGCCAGGUCCUAAGGCAGUGUAACACAGUAAGAAGCUGCCACACUGUUUUCCAGAGUGGCUGUGCCAUUCUGCAUUCCCAGUAGCAGGGUUGGAGAGCAUAUUCCUGCCAGCACUUGGCACUGUCCUUGCCAGCACUGGGAUGCUUCGUGAUUGUUCUUUCAUCUUAGCUACUGAUGUAGGCCUGUGCUGGUACCUUAUGAAGAAGGUGCACAGCCUUCCAAAUCACCUAGGCCCACUGUGGCAGUCUCAUUCCCCAGAACAUACUGUUAUAUCUCUAGCUGGUCAGCUGCUUGCCCCAAAUGGUACUGUGGCCUUAGGCUAGGUGCAGUGUUUACCUUCCGGAUUGCUUGCAUUUGUUUCCCUAACAAUAAAUUAUGUUGGGCAUCACAGGCUUAUUUUUCUCUGCUUAUUUGCAUGGGCUUCUCUGCAAUCCAUGCAAGUUGUUUGGUGAAGUACAGGUUCACCAAAACUAUUCCCCAAUUUUUUACUGGGUUGUUUUCUUAUUGUUGAGUUUUAAGUGUUCU
rnacentral:lncRNA from 1 species